GUGAUGCUAUAUACAAAAACUCAGGAAAAAUAUCUUCUAGUGGCCCAUGACUUACCCAUUUAUCAUGCCAAAAUGAAGUCCUCCCAUUGCCCACCCUUGUGUAUCAUCUGAAAAGAAUCCCAUAGUUGUCUGAUAGCUUUCCAGAUCCCUGUCACAUGAAGGUUGUUGACUGGACUUGUACACCACUGAUCUGUCUGGCUAUAUUUUUCACCAAUGAAUAUUCUCCACAAGGGAUUAGGUUCAGAACUAUACCUCCACAACCACUUUAUGAGUAGGCUUUGAUUAUGUGCUUUUAAGUUCCUAAGACCUAUGCCCCUUCGUUCUUGCUAACUAAUGAGAGAUUCCAAUUAACCA
rnacentral:misc_RNA from 1 species